rnacentral:lncRNA from 1 species
UGAAGUGUAAUCCUUGUUAACAUAGAAUCCUCAGAAUAUGCAACAUUCUCGGCAUUCAUCUCUAUCACAUAUUAGCCAUGUUCUCUUCCACUACAAGUGUGAAGUGCAUCGUGUGUGCUAGCAUGCUCUCUAGUGAAACAAAACAAAGACUAUCAAACUUCAACAGAGUCCUCACUAUGAGCCGUUAAUCAGAAUCAAGCUUAAACACUUCUUUACUAAAGAGUCAACUACAAUUUAGGGUCACUAAAGAAUUCCUAUGCCUUUCCUAUUUUUUUCUAUUUUUUUUUCUUUUUUU